rnacentral:rRNA from 1 species
AUGGCUGCUGCGCCGCGCGCGCUCUCGCCCUCCCGUCGCCGCCUCGCCGUUCUGCCGGCGGUCAUGGCGGCGGCGCUUCUCCUAAUAGCCUGCUGCGCGGACGGAGCGGCGGCGGCGGCGGGGAGCGGCGGCAGGGGGCUGACGCGGCGGAGGCAGCUGCUGAGGCAGCGGCAGGUGCAGUACCACCUCAAGCGCCUCAACAAGGCGCCUCUCGCCAGCAUUGAGAGCCCGGAUGGGGACAUCAUAGACUGCGUGCCCAUCUCCAGCCAGCCUGCCUUCGAUCACCCUUUGCUCAAGAACCAUACUAUCCAGACGAGGCCUGCUUACCACCCAGAAGGCCUGUAUGAUGAAUCCAAGGUCGCAUCCCAGAAGAACACUCAGAAAAUCAUCCAAAUGUGGCAUCAGAACGGCAUGUGCCAAGAGAACACCAUACCAGUCAGGAGGACCAAGAAGGAGGAUGUCUUCAGGGCCAGCUCCAUCAGGAGGUAUGGCAAGAAGACGCACCUGAGCACCCCAAACCCCUCGUCCGUCGACCCUGCCAUGCUCAAUGAGAAUGGCCACCAGCAUGCAAUAGCAUAUGUGGAGGGGGAUAAGUACUAUGGAGCCAAGGCCACCAUCAAUGUGUGGCAGCCAAGCAUUCAGCAGGGCAACGAGUUCAGCCUCUCACAGCUUUGGAUCCUGGGGGGUUCCUUUGGGCAGGACCUGAACAGCAUUGAAGCAGGGUGGCAGGUCAGCCCAGACUUGUAUGGAGAUAACAACACCAGACUCUUCACCUACUGGACUAGCGAUGCGUAUCAGGCAACAGGGUGCUACAACCUGCUCUGCUCGGGGUUCAUCCAGACAAACAACCAGAUAGCCAUGGGCGCCAGCAUCUUCCCUAUCUCCAACUAUGGUGGCUCCCAAUAUGAUAUCAACAUUUUGGUAUGGAAGGACCCGAAGCAGGGCAACUGGUGGCUGCAGUUCGGCAACGACUACGUGCUGGGCUACUGGCCGUCGUUCCUCUUCUCGUACCUGGCGGACAGCGCGUCGAUGAUCGAGUGGGGCGGCGAGGUGGUGAACACGGAGCCUGACGGCAGCCACACGUCCACCCAGAUGGGCAGCGGGCACUUCCCGGAGGAGGGGUUCGGCAAGUCGAGCUACUUCAAGAACAUCCAGGUGGUGGACUCGUCCAACAACCUCAAGGCGCCGCGGGGGAUCGGCUCCUUCACCGAGCAGUCCAACUGCUACGACGUGCAGAACGGCAACAAUGGCGACUGGGGCACCUACUUCUACUACGGGGGCCCCGGGAAGAACCCCAACUGUCCAUAG